GGGUUGGGGGCGGGGCCAGAGCCCAGGCGACGGGGGGGGCCUGGCGCGCGGGUGCUGCCCCGUCCCAAAGCUGUAGAAUAACACCCACGUUUAGUGCCGGAUUGUCUCAUCCUCCCAGGAGAAGGGGAAGGGAAAUGGCUGCGGAAGAGGAGGCUCAGGGGGCGGUGACCAUUGAGGAGGUGUCUGAGGAAGAGUGGGCUCUGCUGGACCCCGCUCAGAGAGCCCUCUAUGGAGAUGUCAUGCAGGAGAACUAUGAGACUGUGACCUCGCUGGCAUCACCCCGACAUGCCAAUGACACACACACCAGCUUUCUGCCCUCCCCUGCUACACAACACUGCGGGAACAGAGCCCAGGAGCAGAACAGCACAAAUUCUAACAGGGUCUUUCUACUAAGGCAAAACUUGGGUUUAGCUCCAUCCUUGCAAACAGAAGCUGCUUAUGCUCAAACACGGAGCCUACUUCACACAAACCAUCUCAGACUUGUAAAAUGUUACCCUCUCUUUACCAUCGCCCCGAGAAUUCCUUCUGCCUCGUCGCCUUCACGUCCCCCUCACUGAGCCCUGGAGACCCCUAGUGUGUAUCCCACCAGAGCGCUGACAAUCCCCCUGACAAGAACGCACCCUUCUGCACCUUUAGUGACACAGCCUACAACACUGAGCACUGACGUGGGGCAGACUCGGUCCCUCAGGGGUCACCUGCACCUCUCUGCAUACCACAGUCACAGCUCUGCCAGGCUGCUCCAACUGCUCCCUCCACCAUCCGAUCACAGCUACAGCUGACCCAGGGGCACAGCCGGAGGGCAUGCGGAUAAAUGCUGGUGUUCCCAUCUCUGGAACACAACACAAACAGUAGCAUGUUCCCUUAGUCCUUCCUCAGAUUGAUUAUAGAGUCAUAGGUUUUAUGGCAAGAAGGGAUUAUAAAUUCAUCUAGUCGGACCUCAUGUGUAAGAAGCCAAAGAAUCUCAUCCAAUUACUGUGGGAUUGAGCUGAAUAGCUUGUGCCGAACUGAAUCAUCCUCCAGAAAGUCAUCAAGUCUUGACAUGAAGAUUUGGAGUGAUGGAGAAUCGGCCGCUUCCCGUGGUGGUGUGUUUACCUUUGGAACGGGGGUCACAGCAGGAGCUUUGCCGUGGCAAUCCCGGUCACCCUUAAAGGUUGGGAAUCCCACAAAACACCUCCUAUUAUCACUUUUCCACUUCUUAUUACUAUGGUGCUAUAAAACAGAGGAAGACAUCAGUGACAAGAACUUUCAUCCAAGUCCAGACACAAAAGAGUCCUUGUCUCUGCAUAAAAGAUAAAGGACUCAGUUCCUAAACAGCAGGGCCUGCGGACCCCAGUUUGAGAGAUGCUGCACUGACAUAAGAACAUAAGAGCGGCCAGACUGGGUCAGACCAAAGGUCCAUCUAGCCCAGUGUCCUGUCUUCUGACAGUGGCCAGUGCCAGGUGUCCCAGAGGGAAUGAACAAAACAGGUAAUGAUCAAGUGAUCCAUCCCCUGUCACCCAUUCCCAGCUUCUGGCAAACAGAGGCUAGAGACACCAUUCCUGCCCAUCCUGCUAAUAGCCAUUGAUGGAUCUAUCCUCCAUGGACUUAUCUAGUUCUUUUUUGAACCCUGUUAUAGUCUUGGCUUUCACAACAUCCUCUGGCAAGGAGUUCCACAGGUUGACUGUGCGCAGUGUGAAGACAUACUUCCUUUUGUUUGUUUUAAACCUGCCGCCUAUUCAUUUCAUUUGGUGAAAUUCUAGUUCUUGUGUUACGAGAAGGAGUAAAUAACACUUUCUUAUCUACUUUCUCUACACCAGUCAUGAUUUUAUAGACCUCAAUCCUAUCCCCCCUUAGUCGCGGGUCAGUAUCCCCACCAGCUGAUGCUUAGUUGACUAAAGCCACAACAAAGUUUUCUUGCUCAGUUAAACUCCUGACGUGGUGACCCAAACAGACAAGAGUUCAAUUGUGGGCAACAAAAGCAGAAAACGGCCCUGUAGCCUUUGCACUCCAGUUCCCACCCAGGGCAGAUCAGGCAUGGCCUUAAUUCACUCUGCGCAGGAGUUGGCUUAUCUAGAGAUGCGAUGAUCAAGUGAGGCGAUGUCACAGUCCCCAGUGGCUGGGAGUGUGGCUGAGAGACUCAAAAUACGAAGAAUCCGACCUGUGAUGCCAGCCAGCUCCAGGGCUAUGGGCUGGGGGGCAGAGUUAAGGUUUCAUAGUAGGGAUAGCGUGAACUUGAACUCUUCAUUUUCUGGGUUUCAGAGAUUUAAAUGGAAAGAGUCCAGCAGAGGGCAACAAAAAUGAUUAGGGGGCUGGAGCACAUGAUUUAUGAGGAGAGGCUGAGGGAACUGGGAUUGUGUAGUCUCCAGAAGAGAAGAAUGGGGGGAGAUUUGAUAGCUGCUUUCAACUACUUGAAAUGGGGUUCCAAAGACGAUGGAGCUCGGCUGUUCUCAGUGGUGGCAGAUGACAGAACAAGGAGCAAUGGUCUCAAGUUGCAGUGGGGGAGGUCCAGGUUGGAUAUUAGGAAACACUAUUUCACUAGGAGGGUGGUGAAGCACUGGAAUGGGUUACCUAGGGAGGUGGUGGAAUCUCCUUCCUUGGAGGUUUUUAAGACCCAGCUUGACAAAGCCCUGGCUGGGAUGAUUUAGUUGGGAAUUGGUCCUGCUUUGAGCAGGGGGUUGGACUAGAUACCUCCUGAGGUUCCUUCCAACCCUGAUAUUCUAUGAUUCUAUGAUUCAUUUAUUCACUCUAAUUUAAGGUUUCAUGUUCCAGUAAUACAUUGUAAUGUUUUUAGAAGGUCUCUUUCUAUAAGUCUAUAAUAUAUAACAAAACUAUUGUUGUAUGUAAAGUAAAUAAGGUUUUUAAAAUA